UAAAAAUCGAUGACGAGAACACGUCCUUUAUGGAACCUGAUCCACAGAGAGCCGGUGAUUUGCUGCAAGCCGGUGUUCAGAUUGUAGAGGAACAUCAUCUCUGAGAUGCAGAGCUGAAACCUAGACGUAGUAAGCUUUUGCCGGCUUGUCCGCCGUUAAAUGGAACACGUAUGAUGGUACGUUGAUGAGAGCCGCAUGUUUGUGCGGAAUCAGGGUGGUAACGCGAGCACAACUCGUCCCUAUU
rnacentral:ncRNA from 1 species